rnacentral:rRNA from 1 species
AGAGUUUGAUCCUGGCUCAGGAUGAACGCUGGCGGCGUGCCUAAUACAUGCAAGUCGAGCGAACGGACGAGAAGCUUGCUUCUCUGAUGUUAGCGGCGGACGGGUGAGUAACACGUGGAUAACCUACCUAUAAGACUGGGAUAACUUCGGGAAACCGGAGCUAAUACCGGAUAAUAUUUUGAACCGCAUGGUUCAAAAGUGAAAGACGGUCUUGCUGUCACUUAUAGAUGGAUCCGCGCUGCAUUAGCUAGUUGGUAAGGUAACGGCUUACCAAGGCAACGAUGCAUAGCCGACCUGAGAGGGUGAUCGGCCACACUGGAACUGAGACACGGUCCAGACUCCUACGGGAGGCAGCAGUAGGGAAUCUUCCGCAAUGGGCGAUAGCCUGACGGACCAACGCCGCGUGAGUGAUGAAAGACAUCGGAUCGAGAAAAUCUGUUNUUNGGGNNGNNCCUNUGUGUNNGUNNCUGUGCNCUUCUUGNCGGUNCCUNUUCNGNNNGCCCCGGCUNNCUNCGUGCCCGCCGCCGCGGUNNUNCGUNGGUGGCCNGCGUUUUCCGGNNUUNUUGGGCGUNNNGCGCGCGUNGGCGGUUUUUUNNGUCUGNUGUGNNNGCCCCCGGCUCNNCCGUGGNGGGUCCUUGGNNNCUGGNNNNCUUGNGUGCCGNNGNGGNANGUGGNNUUCCCUGUGUAAGCGGUGAAAUGCGCAGGAGAUAGGAGGAACCACCAAUGGCGAAGGCGACUUUCUGGUCUGUAACUGACGCUGAUGUUGCGAAAGCGUGGGGAUCAAACAGGAUUAGAUACCCUGGUUGUCCACGCCGUAAACGAUGAGUGCUAAGUGUUAGGGGGUUUCCGCCCCUUAGUGCUGCAGCUAACGCAUUAAGCACUCCGCCUGGGGAGUACGACCGCAAGGUUGAAACUCAAAGGAAUUGACGGGGACCCGCACAAGCGGUGGAGCAUGUGGUUUAAUUCGAAGCAACGCGAAGAACCUUACCAAAUCUUGACAUCCUUUGACAACUCUAGAGAUAGAGCUUUCCCCUUCGGGGGACAAAGUGACAGGUGGUGCAUGGUUGUCGUCAGCUCGUGUCGUGAGAUGUUGGGUUAAGUCCCGCAACGAGCGCAACCCUUAAGCUUAGUUGCCAUCAUUAAGUUGGGCACUCUAAGUUGACUGCCGGUGACAAACCGGAGGAAGGUGGGGAUGACGUCAAAUCAUCAUGCCCCUUAUGAUUUGGGCUACACACGUGCUACAAUGGACAAUACAAAGGGCAGCGAAACCGUGAGGUCAAGCAAAUCCCAUAAAGUUGUUCUCAGUUCGGAUUGUAGUCUGCAACUCGACUACAUGAAGCUGGAAUCGCUAGUAAUCGUAGAUCAGCAUGCUACGGUGAAUACGUUCCCGGGUCUUGCACACGCCGCCCGUCA